GCUGAUAAAUGGUCCCAUACCGUAUCCACAGCGUCCUCAUGGUGCAGGCGGUCAAACCUCCACCUCUUUGAAGAGACCAAGCAGCUUGAUGACUGACUGGUUCUUUAUACUCAAGACCUCGUCCCGGAGCAGAGGACGGACCUAAGGCCCACAGCGCAGCCGAUUAGAGACUCCAUGUGGAACCGGUUCAAUUAAGUUGACCUCUCCUUCAGGCGACUUAAAGGGAGACCAGAUGUGCGGCAGCUGGGUGUCAUGGUGCAGAGACCCAACGCUGUACUGAACUACACCAGUGUGUCCUACUCCCAUAAACCCUGAGGAUCCCUGGAUGGCUACACCAGCACAUUAAUCCACACCCAACAUCAACACACAGUGCACACUCUAUAGAGCUCGUAAGUCCGCCCCUUGCGGCGGGACCUCGUGAGAUCGUAAGAUAUGACUGGGUUUCAAUGGAGAGAAAGUAAUUAUUUUCUCCAUUUUAUGUUGCACCACAUUUUGGGGGAAGAAUGUUUGAAUCAAUCUUUGUCAUUUAUUUCUGUACUCCAUAUCUGUAAUCCCAGCUGUUGUAUUUUAACACGGUAGCUGGGAACCCUCUUUAUAGGGAGCGACUAGAGGGACGAGGCUGGAAGCAAACCUGAGCCUGGAUCUUAACCUUCUUUCUAAACCUAAUGCCGCAAUUUAACCUCAAAUAAAGUGAGGCCUAAAGUAACUUGACUCUCUUACCUAAACUUGCUUGCCUAAACUCGCUUGUCUAAACUCGCUUGCAUAAAACCUAAACUCGCUUGCAUAAAACCUGAACUUGCUUGGCUAAACUCGCGUCGCUUGCCUAAUACCUGAACUUGCUUGCCUAAACUCGCUUGCCUAAUACCUGAACUCGCUUGCCUAAACUCGCUUGCCUAAUACCUGAACUCGCUUGCCUAAACUCGCUUGCCUAAACUCGCUUGCCUAAACUCGCUUGCCUAAUACCUGAACUCGCUUGCAUAAAACCUGAACUCGCUUGCAUAAAACCUGAACUCGCUUGCAUAAAACCUAAACUCGCUUGCAUAAAACCUAAUCUUGCUUAGCUUGACUCGCUUGCCUGUACUCGCUUGG